rfam:Lactobacillus manihotivorans DSM 13343 = JCM 12514 strain DSM 13343 NODE_40, whole genome shotgun sequence.
UCCAUCGUGAGGUGGAAUCUGAAGGAAGCCUGAUGAGCAAAACACUACGCUGAUGUACAAGAAGUAGCUAUAAGGCAUAAGGUUGCUGCACAAACCAAAGUCCAAUACUACUCGAAGUCAUGACCGUAAAGCUGACAGCGACAUGGUGUGAAAGUUGACGUU